rnacentral:lncRNA from 1 species
ACAUGAGAGGAGAUGGUGUUCUCAUCGUAUUUCCUAAAAUGUUGAAAUAUUAAUUUGAAGAGCAGACACAAAUCUAACUAAACAAUAAUUACCCAGGUGGACAAAGAAGUGUAUGUCCCCCUCAUCAUCGCUGCUGGGGGGGGUGGCCGGGGCUACAGCAGCCUGGCAGAGACGCAGCUGGAGCAGAUGGACUAUGACCCCAGUCAACCGGGACGCAGCGGAAAGUCAAGCGCAGCAGGUGGAGGCGGAGGUUGGAAUGACAGUGCUCCUGUCAGUCAAGGUGGCAGACCUCUGGUGCUGGGAGGCCAGGGAGGGCAGGCCUGUCAUAAGUUCUGGCAGACCCGCGGUGGCUUCGGGGGAGGCGGCGGUGGCUGUAUGUCCGGAGGCGCCGCAGGAGGCUACAGAGGUGGUAACACCUCCGUAGAUAACAACCCCAAACACGACGGUGACGAUGGCACGUCCUUCCUCGGCCCGGAGGGAGAGCCCUUCCUCUACCCUCUGAAAGGUAAUGUCAGCAGUCAAGACAUCUGUGUUGAGCAUUUGAUAAGGGUUUGGUGUUUGAGGGUGAGCGGUAAUGUGUUUGUGCUUCUUGAAAA